UACAGAGGAGCCAAGCGUUGUCCGGAUUGACUGGGCGUAAAGCGCACGCAGGCGGUCUGGCGCGUGGGGUGUGAAAUCUGGCCGCUUAACGGCCAGGCGCCAUCCCAUACGGCUAGACUGGAGGGCUGCAGAGGUCGAUGGAAUUGCCGGUGUAGUGGUGAAAUGCUUAGAUAUCGUCAAGAACACCUAUAGCGAAGGCAGCUUACUAGGCUGUAACUGACGCUGAGGCACGAAAGUGUGGGGAUCAAACAGG
rnacentral:rRNA from 1 species